CCUACGGGUGGCAGCAGUGAGGAAUAUUGGUCAAUGGGCGCAAGCCUGAACCAGCCAAGUCGCGUGAGGGAUGACGGUCCUAUGGAUUGUAAACCUCUUUUGUCGAGGAGCAAGGCCCGCCACGUGUGGCGGGAAGGAUAGUACCCUAAGCAAAAGCAUCGGCUAACUCCGUGCAAGCAGCCGCGGUAAUACGGAGGCUCCGAGCUUUAUCCGGAUUUAUUGGGUUUAUAGGUAGCUUAGGUGGAUUGUUAAGUCAGUUGUGAAAGUUUGCGGCUCAACCGUAAAAUUGCAGUUGAAAAUGGCAGUCUUGAGUACAGUAGAGGUGUGCGGAAGUCGUGGUGUAGCGGUG
rnacentral:rRNA from 1 species